UCUCGGCUUACACCGGCAGUCCCGCCAGAGUGCCCAGCUUGACCUGCUGGCAACUGACGGUAGGGGUUGCGCUCGUUAUGGGACUUAACCCGACACCUCACGGCACGAGCUGACGACAACCAUGCAGCACCUAGUUUCGUGCCCCGAAGGGAAGACCUGUUUCCAGAUCUGUCACUAACUUUCAAGCCCGGGUAAGGUUCCUCGCGUAUCAUCGAAUUAAACCACAUGUUCCUCCGCUUGUGCGGGCCCCCGUCAAUUCCUUUGAGUUUCAUUCUUGCGAACGUACUCCCCAGGUGGAUAACUUAUCGCUUUCGCUUAGUCACCGACAUUGUAUCGCCGACAACGAGUUAUCAUCGUUUACUGCGUGGACUAC
rnacentral:misc_RNA from 1 species